AUUGAACGCUGGCGGCAUGCCUUACACAUGCAAGUCGAACGGCAGCACGGGUGCUUGCACCUGGUGGCGGGUGGCGAACGGGUGAGUAAUACAUCGGAACAUGUCCUGUAGUGGGGGAUAGCCCGGCGAAAGCCGGAUUAAUACCGCAUACGAUCUACGGAUGAAAGCGGGGGACCUUCGGGCCUCGCGCUAUAGGGUUGGCCGAUGGCUGAUUAGCUAGUUGGUGGGGUAAAGGCCUACCAAGGCGACGAUCAGUAGCUGGUCUGAGAGGACGACCAGCCACACUGGGACUGAGACACGGCCCAGACUCCUACGGGAGGCAGCAGUGGGGAAUUUUGGACAAUGGGCGAAAGCCUGAUCCAGCAAUGCCGCGUGUGUGAAGAAGGCCUUCGGGUUGUAAAGCACUUUUGUCCGGAAAGAAAUCCUUGGCCCUAAUACGGUCGGGGGAUGACGGUACCGGAAGAAUAAGCACCGGCUAACUACGUG
rnacentral:rRNA from 1 species